AUUGAACGCUGGCGGCAGGCCUAACACAUGCAAGUCGAGCGCGUUGCGGACGGGUGAGUAAUGACUGGGAAAUUGCCUGUUGGUGGGGGAUCCCUCCUGGAAAGGGUAGAUAAUACCGCAUACCUUCGGAUGUGUUCAGAUGGGAUUAGCUAGUAGGUGGGGUAAAGGCUCACCUAGGCGACGAUCCCUAGCUGGUCUGAGAGGAUGACCAGCCACACUGGAACUGAGACACGGUCCAGACUCCUACGGGAGGCAGCAGUGGGGAAUAUUGCGCAAUGGGCGCAAGCCUGAUGCAGCCAUGCCGCGUGUAUGAAGAAGGCCUUCGGGUUGUAAAGUACUUUCGGCGGAGAGGCGUUACCCGCAGAAAAAGCACCGGCUAACUCCGUGCCAGCAGCCGCGGUAAUAC
rnacentral:rRNA from 1 species